rnacentral:rRNA from 1 species
CAGCCGCCGCGGUAAUACGUAGGGUGCAAGCGUUAAUCGGAAUUACUGGGCGUAAAGCGUGCGCAGGCGGUGUUGUAAGACUGAUGUGAAAUCUCUGGGCUCAACCCAGAGUCUGCAUCGGAAACUGUCGAGCUUGAGUAUGGGAGAGGUGAGUGGAAUUUCCGGUGUAGCGGUGAAAUGCGUAGAUAUCGGAAGGAACACCUGUGGCGAAAGCGGCUCACUGGACCAUUACUGACGCUGAGGCGCGAAAGCUAGGGGAGCAAACAGGAUUAGAUACCCCGGUAGUCCCUGUCUCUUAUAC